ACGGAAGGCAGCAGUGGGGAAUAUUGGGCAAUGGGCGAAAGCCUGAACCAGCCAAGUCGCGUGAAGGAUGAAGGUAUUAUGUAUUGUAAACUUCUUUAGACGCAAAGAAAUAAGAGGCUCGUGAGCCUUGAUGCUAGUAUGCGUAGAAUAAGGAUCGGCUAACUCCGUGCCAGCAGCCGCGGUAAUACGGAGGAUCCGAGCGUUAUCCGGAUUUAUUGGGUUUAAAGGGUGCGCAGGCGGCCCUGUAAGUCAGCGGUUAAAUCGUGGAGCUCAACUCCAUCCCGCCGUUGAUACUGCAGGGCUUGAUUGCGGUCGAGGUUGGCGGAAUUCGCCGUGUAGCGGUGAAAUGCAUAGAUAUGGCGAAGAACUCCGAUUGCGUAGGCAGCUGACCAGACCGUAAAUGACGCUCAUGCACGAAAGUGCGGGGAUCGAACAGGAUUAGAUACCCUGGUA
rnacentral:rRNA from 1 species